GGGUUGUGAGGUUAAGCGACUAAGCGUACACGGUGGAUGCCCUGGCAGUCAGAGGCGAUGAAGGACGUGCUAAUCUGCGAUAAGCGUCGGUAAGGUGAUAUGAACCGUUAUAACCGGCGAUUUCCGAAUGGGGAAACCCAGUGUGUUUCGACACACUAUCAUUAACUGAAUCCAUAGGUUAAUGAGGCGAACCGGGGGAACUGAAACAUCUAAGUACCCCGAGGAAAAGAAAUCAACCGAGAUUCCCCCAGUAGCGGCGAGCGAACGGGGAGCAGCCCAGAGCCUGAAUCAGUGUGUGUGUUAGUGGAAGCGUCUGGAAAGGCGCGCGAUACAGGGUGACAGCCCCGUACACAAAAAUGCACAUACUGUGAGCUCGAUGAGUAGGGCGGGACACGUGGUAUCCUGUCUGAAUAUGGGGGGACCAUCCUCCAAGGCUAAAUACUCCUGACUGACCGAUAGUGAACCAGUACCGUGAGGGAAAGGCGAAAAGAACCCCGGCGAGGGGAGUGAAAAAGAACCUGAAACCGUGUACGUACAAGCAGUGGGAGCACGCUUAGGCGUGUGACUGCGUACCUUUUGUAUAAUGGGUCAGCGACUUAUAUUCUGUAGCAAGGUUAACCGAAUAGGGGAGCCGAAGGGAAACCGAGUCUUAACUGGGCGUUAAGUUGCAGGGUAUAGACCCGAAACCCGGUGAUCUAGCCAUGGGCAGGUUGAAGGUUGGGUAACACUAACUGGAGGACCGAACCGACUAAUGUUGAAAAAUUAGCGGAUGACUUGUGGCUGGGGGUGAAAGGCCAAUCAAACCGGGAGAUAGCUGGUUCUCCCCGAAAGCUAUUUAGGUAGCGCCUCGUGAAUUCAUCUCCGGGGGUAGAGCACUGUUUCGGCAAGGGGGUCAUCCCGA
rnacentral:rRNA from 1 species